UACGGGGGGGGCGAGCGUUGUUCGGAAUCACUGGGCGUAAAGGGCGCGUAGGCGGCCCGCACAAGUCUGCGGUGAAAACCCCCGGCUUAACCGGGGGCCGGCCGUGGAAACUGUCGGGCGUACGAGGCCGGGAGAGGGCAGCGGAAUUCCCGGUGUAGCGGUGAAAUGCGUAGAGAUCGGGAGGAACACCGGCGGCGAAGGCGGCUGCCUGGACCGGCCCUGACGCUGAGGCGCGAAAGCUAGGGGAGCAAACAGG
rnacentral:rRNA from 1 species